rnacentral:lncRNA from 1 species
AACAAGCGCACAAACAAGAUAAUCAUCGAAACAAUAUUAUGUUCUCAGCAAGGCUAUGUGCAUUCUUCUCAAGUCUGGGAUAUGCACGUACAGUGGUCUUAGAUCAAUUGAUAAUCACCAGAACUAACUACAAUACAUAGUCUGUGAAUCAAAAGUAAGAAAAUACCAGGAAGAUGAUUUGUGUAGUUGCAGGAGCUCAGGGGAAAGGAGAGUAGGUGGACCUGCUUGCUGGAGCUCCUUGACUGGCCAGUUGAACGUGCAGCCACAGCCGAGAGAGUGCUACUACCCUACAUGAGAGCAUGUUAAAUGGAAAAAACUCAAAUCCCUAACAAGAACUUUUUUUUGAAAGAUCCAUAAAAUCCAGAUCGGGAUAGGGGGACUAACAUGAACUCAUCCUUCACGCGAGCACCGCCGCUCGACAGCCUCCACAUCCGCCGGCUCGGCUCCCUCGGCGGCCGCUGUGCCCCACGCCAACAUGAGCGCCCAUCCAAAGGGAAAUAAAGAAGUAGACAACAAAACAAAGAGCGAUGUUAAUAUAACCACAUCAUUCAAUUCACAUGUCAAGAUACAAUAGGAAGUCUUUCCACCAAGCGGCUUGAUACAUACAAUUAAACUCAGGAAAAUAAUUUUCACCACUUAUAGAUAAUAAGCAGCUGUAAGGGGACAUGUAGACAACCGCAUACCUGUAUACAUGCAAAUAACUUCCAAAAUAAACGUAUGCCACAGGAAAAGUAAACUCCAACAUAUUACCAAAGAGACAAUAAAAGCUCUGAACCAAAAAAUCUAAGAAAUGCUCAAUUCAGUUUACUUAAUAGUUACGAAAUUAAUUAUUCUCGGUCAGGUGGUUCUGGUAUACUUAAGAAAACACUUGUAGACUUCAAGUACAGAUAAAUACUCAAGCU